UGCCAGCCGCCGCGGUAAUACAGGCGGAGCGAGUGUUGCUCGGAAUCACUGGGCGUAAAGGGUGUGUAGGCUGUUUUAUAAGUGGAAUGUUAAAGAUCUAGGCUCAACCUAGUUAUGCAUUUCAUACUGUAAAACUUGAGUAUGGUAGAGGAAGUAGGAAUUUCUGGAGUAACGGUGAUAUGUGUAGAUCCCAGAAGGAACACCAAAGGCGAAGGCAAGCUUCUAGGCCAAUACUGACGCUGAGACACGAAAGCGUGGGGAGCAAACAGGAUUAGAUA
rnacentral:rRNA from 1 species